rnacentral:tRNA from 1 species
GUAAAAGUAGUUAACUAAUAACUUGAGGUUGUCAGCUUCAAAUUCCUGUGCCAUUACCAGGCUUUUGCU